UAAAAAUUAGUUAAAAAAUAACAAUAUUUUGUCAAAAUAUAAUUAUUAAUUAAAUUAAUAUUUUUAA
rnacentral:tRNA from 1 species